rnacentral:rRNA from 1 species
UACAGAGGUCUCGAGCGUUGUUCGGAUUCAUUGGGCGUAAAGGGCGCGUAGGCGGCGGGGCAAGUCGGGUGUGAAAGCCCCGGGCUCAACCUGGGAAUUGCAUUCGAGACUGCUCUGCUAGGGUGCGGAAGAGGGAAGCGGAAUUUCCGGUGUAGCGGUGAAAUGCGUAGAUAUCGGAAGGAACACCAGUGGCGAAAGCGGCUUCCUGGUCCAGCACCGACGUUCAGGCACGAAAGCGUGGGGAGCAAACAGG